UACGUAGGGUGCGAGCGUUGUCCGGAAUUAUUGGGCGUAAAGAGCUUGUAGGCGGUUUGUCGCGUCUGCCGUGAAAACCCAGGGCUCAACCCUGGGCCUGCAUUCGAUACGGGCAGACUAGAGUUCGGUAGGGGAGACUGGAAUUCCUGGUGUAGCGGUGAAAUGCGCAGAUAUCAGGAGGAACACCGGUGGCGAAGGCGGGUCUCUGGGCCGAAACUGACGCUGAGGAGCGAAAGCGUGGGGAGCAAACAGG
rnacentral:rRNA from 1 species